AUUGAACGCUGGCGGCAGGCCUAACACAUGCAAGUCGAACGAGUGGCGGACGGGUGAGUAAUGUCUGGGACACUGCCUGAUGGAGGGGGAUAACUACUGGAAACGGUAGCUAAUACCGCAUACCAUCAGAUGUGCCCAGAUGGGUUUAGCGUGUUGGUGGGGUAACGGCUCACCAAGGCGACGAUCCCUAGCCGGUCUGAGCGGAUGACCAGCCACACGGGAACUGAGCAACGGUCCAAACUCCAACGGAAGGCAGCAGUGGGGAAUAUUGCACAAGGGGCGCAAGCCUGAUGCAGCCAUGCCGCGUGGUUGAAGAAGGCCUUCGGGUUGUAAAGUACGUUCAGCGGGGAGGCGUUACCCACAGAAGAAGCACCGGCUAACUCCGUGCCAGCAGCCGCGGUAAUUC
rnacentral:rRNA from 1 species